rnacentral:rRNA from 1 species
GAUGAACGCUGACAGAAUGCUUAACACAUGCAAGUCGAUUCAAUUUACCUUCGGGUAUUGAGGAUGGCGGACGGGUGAGUAACGCGUAAGGAACUUGCCUCUUGGUCUGGGACAACUGUUGGAAACGACAGCUAAUACCGGAUAUUAUGAGAUUCUCGCAUGAGAAACUUAUGAAAGCUAUAUGCGCCAAGAGAGAGCCUUGCGUUCCAUUAGCUAGUUGGUGGGGUAACGGCCCACCAAGGCGACGAUGGAUAGCCGGCCUGAGAGGGUGAACGGCCACAAGGGGACUGAGACACGGCCCUUACUCCUACGGGAGGCAGCAGUGGGGAAUAUUGGACAAUGGGCCACAAGCCUGAUCCAGCAAUUCUGUGUGCACGAUGAAGGUCUUCGGAUUGUAAAGUGCUUUCAGUUAGGAAGAAGAAAGUGACGGUACCAACAGAAGAAGCGACGGCUAAAUACGUGCCAGCAGCCGCGGUAAUACGUAUGUCGCAAGCGUUAUCCGGAUUUAUUGGGCGUAAAGCGCGUCUAGGCGGAAAAAUAAGUCUGAUGUUAAAAUGCGGGGCUCAACUCCGUANUGCGUUGGAAACUGUUUUUCUAGAGUACUGGAGAGGUGGGCGGAACUACAAGUGUAGAGGUGAAAUUCNUAGAUAUUUGUAGGAAUGCCGAUGGAGAAGUCANCUCACUGGACAGAUACUGACGC